rnacentral:rRNA from 1 species
CACGUAGGGCGCAAGCGUUGUCCGGAAUCAUUGGGCGUAAAGAGCGUGUAGGCGGCCCGGUAAGUCCGCUGUAAAAGUCAAAGGCUCAACCUUUGAAUGUCAGUGGAUACUGCCGGGCUAGAGUCCGGAAGAGGCGAGUGGAACUCCUGGUGUAGCGGUGGAAUGCGCAGAUAUCGGGAGGAACACCAAUGGCGAAGGCAGCUCGCUGGGACGUGACUGACGCUGAGACGCGAAAGCGUGGGGAGCAAACAGG